CCAGGCAUAAUGUAACAAUUCAUCGUGGAGAUUUCCUGUGUGGGGGAGGUGGGAGUGGGCGUGAUUCUUCUACAAGGCAACUGAGGAGGGCAAAGCUUUUAGAUGGGCAGGAAUAAUUAAGAGUCUACAUCAGUUACCACCUAUGAUAGAAAUAUUUUAAAUAAUAACAUUGCUAAAAUAUGUUUUAAAAAUAAAGAAGAGGGAUUUCAGGUUGGUCUGCUAGUGUCUGCCCACACUGCCAAGCCUCCUCUGAUUCCAGGUACUAAAUGGGUCAGCUUCACGUAGAGGAAGUGCCUUUCUCUGCUCCCCUGUGUGGUCUAACAAAAAAAGCACACUAAAUUCUUUUUUAGGUAAAACGAAAAAAAGAGGAUGCCUAAUCAAAGAACAAAAACUAGCAUCUCGUACUACAUCACGUGUUAAAGUAAUAUAGCUACUAUCUACUGAACAUUUCGCCACGUGCCGGCCUUAGGACAUUAUUAAGUGUUAACUCAUCCAUGCUUCAUGUCAUUCACAAGGCGCUAGAAAUUGCACCCAGAGCCUUGCUUAGGCUGGGCAAGGCCUGUGCCAUGGAACUGCAUCUCCAUAGACGAUCCGAUCUUACAAUACUACUUUUCGAUACUGGUAACUCAUCAUGGGCUAUGUGGAAUCCUCAUCAUUUUCUGUUUAUUCAAGAAAAUGUGGUUUCCUCUAAAAACUUUAUUCUUGUGAAACGAGGAGUGACAGUCAUACCUAAGGAAUUCAAGUGGCUGAAAUGUACAGAAAAAAGAAAGGACAAGGAAUUGACAAAGAAGAGUAGCUGAGGAAUAUUAAUUAAUAAAAGACAUCUGCUAACUGAGGAUGCAGGUUUCCAGAACCCACAUGGCAGGUUCACCAUUGCCUGGAACUCCAGUCCUAGGGGAUCCAAUGCCAGCCUGUCAACUCCAAGGGCACCA